GUAGGGAAUAUUGCACAAUGGAGGAAACUCUGAUGCAGCGACGCCGCGUGAGUGAUGAAGGCCUUCGGGUCGUAAAGCUCUGUCGCAGGGGAAUAACACAAUGAAGGUACCCUGUAAGAAAGGAUCGGCUAACUUCGUGCCAGCAGCAGCGGUAAGACGAGGGAUCCUAGCGUUGUUCGGAAUCAUUGGGCGUAAAGCGGAUGUAGGUGGCUAUGUAAGUCAGAUGUGAAAGCCUGGGGCUCAACCCCAGAAGUGCAUUUGAUACUGCGUAGCUUGAGUGUCGGAGAGGUUACUAGAAUUGUUGGUGUAGUGGUGAAAUACGUAGAUAUCAACAGGAAUACCGGAGGCGAAGGCGGGUAACUGGCCGAACACUGACACUGAGAUCCGAAAGCGUGGGGAUCAAACAGGAUUAGAUACCCCAGUAGUCC
rnacentral:rRNA from 1 species